GACGAACGCUGGCGGCGUGCUUAACACAUGCAAGUCGAGGGGCGGGGCGAGGCGUCACCGGCGAACGGGUUCGCGACUGGUGAGCGACCUGCCCUGAGGGAGGGGGUCAGCCGGACCAAAGGUAGGGUCAUACACCAUCUGUCGCGCGCAUGGAGGUCCUGGAAGAAAGGGCGGACGGGCGCACGAGGAGGUGGUGGGGGCAAGUCCGACAGAUGGGGGGGUCCCGGCCCACCAAGGGUACGACGGGUCGCUGGUUGGAGAGGAUGGCCAGUCCGAGUGGGACUGAGAGACGGCCCAGACUCCUACGGGAGGCAGCAGUGGGGAAGCUGGCGCAAUGGGCGAAAGCCUGACGCGGCGACGCCGCGGGUAGGAUGAGGCCCUGCGGGGUGUAAACUCCUGUGGCUCGGGACGAACGGCGGGCAUCGGCCCGCUUGACGGUACCGGGUGAGGAAGCACCGGCUAACUCUGUG
rnacentral:rRNA from 1 species